rnacentral:hammerhead_ribozyme from 1 species
GCACUGCUUAGGAGUCCUACAACAGAACGAAACGACCGUCCAGUGC